rnacentral:rRNA from 1 species
GAUGAACGCUGGCGGCGUGCCUAAUACAUGCAAGUCGAGCGAACGGACGAGAAGCUUGCUUCUCUGAUGUUAGCGGCGGACGGGUGAGUAACACGUGGAUAACCUACCUAUAAGACUGGGAUAACUUCGGGAAACCGGAGCUAAUACCGGAUAAUAUUUUGAACCGCAUGGUUCAAAAGUGAAAGACGGUCUUGCUGUCACUUAUAGAUGGAUCCGCGCUGCAUUAGCUAGUUGGUAAGGUAACGGCUUACCAAGGCAACAAUGCAUAGCCUACCUGAGAGGGUGAUCGGCCACACUGGAACUGAGACACGGUCCAGACUCCUACGGGAGGCAGCAGUAGGGAAUCUUCCGCAAUGGGCGAAAGCCUGACGGAGCAACGCCGCGUGAGUGAUGAAGGUCUUCGGAUCGUAAAACUCUGUUAUUAGGGAAGAACAUAUGUGUAAGUAACUGUGCACAUCUUGACGGUACCUAAUCAGAAAGCCACGGCUAACUACGUG